rnacentral:rRNA from 1 species
UACGUAGGGGGCGAGCGUUGUCCGGAAUCACUGGGCGUAAAGGGCGCGUAGGCGGCCUGCCAAGUCAAAUGUGAAAUCCCAGGGCUCAACCCUGGACCUGCAUUUGAAACUGGUAGGCUUGAGUGCAGUAGAGGCAAGUGGAAUUCCUAGUGUAGCGGUGGAAUGCGUAGAGAUUAGGAGGAACACCAGUGGCGAAGGCGGCUUGCUGGGCUGUAACUGACGCUGAGGCGCGAAAGCGUGGGGAGCAAACAGG